AGGACGAACGCUGGCGGCGUGCUUAACACAUGCAAGUCGAGCGGAAAGGCCCUUCGGGGUACUCGAGCGGCGAACGGGUGAGUAACACGUGAGCAACCUGCCCUUAGCUCUGGGAUAGCUCCGGGAAACCGGAAUUAAUACCGGAUACGACCUAGGCCGACAUCGGCCAUGGUGGAAAGUUUUUCGGCUAGGGAUGGACUCGCGGCCUAUCAGCUAGUUGGUGGGGUAAAGGCCUACCAAGGCGACGACGGGU
rnacentral:rRNA from 1 species